UAUCUAUCGGAUCGUUUUAGAAACAUCAGUGGCCAACAGAUCGCCAGAUCGUUGAGCUGCAUUGGCGGGAUUUCGCCGUCUUCGUUUCUCUUUCUUCGCGGACGAACACGCGCUGGGGCUGCACGCUUGCAGAAUCCCUGGUCCUUAACAGGAUAUGCGUUAGGGGCUUGUAGCUCAGUUGGUUAGAGCGCGCGCUUGAUAAGCGUGAGGUCGGAAGUUCAAGUCUUCCCAGGCCCACCACGCUUCGCCGUUGGCUUCGCGUGGCACCGCCACGCAAGACAAGUUGCGAAGCGUGUCCGGCAUAGCCCAGAGGGCGACGCCGGACUUCGAGAGGCGCUUCGUCUUCUGGUUACGGGGCCAUAGCUCAGCUGGGAGAGCGCGUGCUUUGCAAGCAUGAGGUCGUCGGUUCGAUCCCGUCUGGCUCCACCAGAUGGUUUGAUCACCGACGGCAUCGAUGCACCGUCGUCCGCGAAACAUCACUUCGCACUUACUAGUCUGGAUGGACGGUGAGGUUGCGUGAUUUCUGACAUCGUAAAGAGGAGAUCGAUCCGAGUUGGAUCGUGCGGCAAGCAAUUGUUGCGCGAUACUUCAUUAUCUCCGGAUCAUUUCGGCGCUUGCGUGCGUCUUUCGAAGGUAGCUCACAAGGCUGCGCUCGAGAGACGAUGCGAGUUGUAAAUGAUCCUUUUAGCGAAGCUUGACCGCCUCGCUAUCGGAACGAUCUUACGAAGCAAGCUGGUCUUUCUAAUCAUUGUCCGUCUGCAGAUAGCGUUCAUCGAGGGCGCGUGCCUUAGAGAUUUCAGUUCUGCAGACAACAUUCUGCCGAGUGUGUGGACAUUGAUAAUGAGAGCAAUCAAGUGCCUUAAGGGUGUUCGGUGGAUGCCUUGGCGCUGAGAGGCGAUGAAGGACGUGCUACGCUGCGAUAA
rnacentral:misc_RNA from 1 species